rnacentral:tRNA from 3 species
UCCCGGGUCGUUCAGUGGUAGGACAGGGGCCUUUGAAGCCUCCAACCCUGGUUCGAAUCCAGGCCCGGGAGCCA